CAAAGAAAAAAGAAUCAUUCUAUGAAAAAGAACUUGCAUAUGCAUAUUUAUAGCAGCACAAUUUGCAAUUCCAAAAAUAUGGAGCCAGCCUAAAUUCCCAUCAACUGAUUAUAUUUAUCAAUGAUAGA